UUUGAUUCACAGUAUCCAGCAGGUUGUCAGCAAAAGAGAGGAUGUUACGCUGACUGUCUUCAGAGCAUUGGAGACACUUACUGUAGAUUUGGCUGUUGCUCUUGCGUGUUGUUUACCUGUUGUAAUGACUUCAGAAAUUCAAAAGGCAUUUGUCUCCUUGUGGAGGCCUGUUGAAGAGGAUGGCUUAAUACCAUCACCUUGUGGCCUCUCCUCCCUGAUGUGCCCUCGAACUGUAAUGCUCAUUGCCCAGAACCCAACCUCAAAGCACCAAGAUGCUGCAUGGAAGAAGAUGGAGGAAUUUAUUUCUUUACUAGUGUCUUCAAAUUUAAUCAGCCCGGUAUCACUGCAGGAACAAUGUGUGUCACUACUGAGGCAUUCUUGGCCAGAGGGAAUCUUGGCUGGUUUAUCAUCUUGCAUUAAAGGAAUCUCCAAGAACUGUAGCAGGCAGAACUUUGCAGAUGAUUCAAUGUUCACAGAACUUGGAAUGGGUCAGUUGGGUAUGUGGAGAAAUGGAGGAGUUUCCUGAUCUAAUAUAAUCUUACUUAGGUGAGCUGUAACAAUUCAAAUCAGAUUUCAUGAAAGCUAGGUAUACACAUAUGGAAACUAAUGAAAGUAACAGAUUAGACAAGUUCGCAUACCAGUAAAAUUAAAUUACAUCCAAUAUGCAAGCAAUGCAUUGGCCUUUUGAUAAUCUGUUUUUCAAUUUCAUCAGAAAUUUUCAAUUGUUAAUUGUAGCAGAUUUUUUUUUUAUCUUGUCAUAAGGCACUACUAUGAAUUAUUUUGGAAAGUAUAUUAAAAAUUAUUCCGAUUAACCUGUAUUGAAAUGUUAAAAAGGGUUUUCAUGACAAACAUUUGAAUUCUCUGUUGUGAUAGUUUUCUUUACAAACCUGAAAAACAAUCUAGUGAUAGUGAUUUUAAAAUUAUUGGCAAAACUGUUGAAGCUUGAUUGUAAAUAUAUAUUUUCACAAUAGAUUUUAUAUUGAUGUAUUUCCCUAUAAAGUCUUGAUGCCAUUGUGAUUAUUCUGGUCUUGGUCUUGGUAAUGGAAGCAGCCAUGAGUUUUAUUAAUUUUAAACUAUUUAGCAAGUAAAUUGCACAUCUAUUCCUCAGUGAAAUACUUUCAUUGUCUAUGCUCUCUUUGGCUGAUGAAGCUGUUGCUCUUGUACCAUGUACUCUACUCCUAUUUAUCCCAGAAUAUUGUACAACCUGC